GUCUUCCGGUGAAAGGUGGCCUCUGCUCUGCAUGCUACCGCCCAAGGAGGGGCUCGCGGCCCAUCAGGUAGUUGGUGGGGUAACGGCCUACCAAGCCUAUGACGGGUAGCCGGCCUGAGAGGGUGGUCGGCCACAGUGGGACUGAGACACGGCCCACACCCCUACGGGGGGCAGCAGUGGGGAAUCGUGGGCAAUGGGCGAAAGCCUGACCCCGCGACGCCGCGUGGAGGAAGAAGCCCUUCGGGGUGUAAACUCCUGUCGGGGGGGACGAUGUGUCCUG
rnacentral:rRNA from 1 species